UAAGAGAUAAAAACACUGCUUCGGUUGGUAGUCCGAGCCUAUUGAAAAAUAGAAGUAACCUGCCCUCCUGGGGUUGUCCCUUCUCUUGUAAUAAA
rnacentral:ncRNA from 1 species